AACGGAUGACCUGCUUGCUGAGCUUUCCAUUACUGAUUCUUGAGGACAUGAGGACCACCAAGCUUGGACAAGACUGGACGAUGACGACGCUGCUCUAUCUGGACAAGGACAAGGAUGCCCCCAGCGGAGACUUAAGCUAAAAAAAUCUAGCUUGCAUAAUAUGAAAUGAUACAUCAGACUGUAUAAUGCAAUGUCAUUGAUGUCAUACAAUAAAGCAACAACAUUAAAAUAAAUGAAAAGUCUUUUUUAUUUUGUUAAAUUAUCUAUUCCUCUAAAAUUAUCUUAAACCUGAUAGGCCUACUGUAACAGACAGUUAACAAUGGACAAUAAUGGAAACUUGCUGAAAAAUUAUUGUAAGGGUAAUAAUUUGGCACCGGCUUUUUACAGUGACAUGUCUGGGAGAAGGGAUGUUCCUUUGAUCUGUCUUGGGUUAUCCAAAAUCAUUACAUCAUUGAGAAAAUCAUUGAAUACACCUUUUAUACCUUUAAUGCAUUCAGUAGGAUUUUCUUGGUAAAUUAUAAGCGAGGUCUCGCCCUGAGGCUUUCUGAUUUUUGUUCCUUCGACAAUGGACAAUUUUGCUCUAUAAAUUUAACUUGAUAUUGAAUGUGCAUUUUAAGAAAACCAAUUUAAGUUAUGAAAUUUGAUUGAUUUCCAAAAGGAUUAAUUUAUUGCUUAAAAACUGGAGAAAUUUUACAAACUUUAUUUCAAUGUAACGUCUGUAACAAGACGUCGGUUUAACUAAAACGUGACUUUCUGUACAUUGUAUAUUUAUCAGAAAACACCAGAACGUUUAAUAUUAGGAACAUUUAAAGAAUAAACUGUUCAGGAACUUCUAUCCAUCAAAAUGUUGGAAAAUAUAAGAAAGGUUGAAGACCCCUCCCCCUCAAUUUAACUUAUGCAGAGACUCUUUCUUUUCGCAUUAAAAGAAAAUGUUAUUAAAUUCAACUCGGGAAAACUACUUAUUGCGUUGCAACAGGUAUAAGUGACACUCGAAUUACAUUUGUGUUGAUCCUUUUGUGGUUUAUUUCAUUGCACUUUUUUUUUACUUGUUGUAUUUUUUACUUCAUAUGCACAUUUGUUUUUCUUGGUGGUUUUGCAUGUCUUUUCAUUUUCUUAUUAAUAAUUAACUAACCUCACAAAAGGAUAAACGCAAUAUAUAUCGAGUGUUGAACUUGCCUUGUAUCAAAUAUUGUAUUCAUAUAAUAGCUAUAUUAGACAAAAUAUAGUACUGAAAUGUUUCAAAAUAAUCUAGGAAUUUUUGGGGAGGGGGGCAUUCCCCAGUUUUAUCUUCCCUUUUUAAAAUCUUAUUAAUUUACAAAAUGGCGAAAUACGGAAAACCUGGCUUUACCGUGUAAUUUCUCAAAUUUAUUUGCCUUCUGCCUAACAUUUUUUUUCUCAUUUUGAAUCUUUUGUAUUUGUUUGCAUGAAUUGGUUUAAAUCUUUGUAUGUCAAUAAGACUAAAGAAUUAAACAAAAUAAAUAAAACUUGAAAGAUGUGAGACACUUGG